GCCGACGAUCCGCCUCCAUCCUCCCCCCCGGGGACUCGCCGCACUCACGCGUGGAGGCCGAAACUCCCCGCAGGGACCUCGGCGAUGAGGGAAGCGGCCCCGAAGCUGCUGAUUCCCGGGUGAACGGCCAGAAGGGACGAGCAAAUGCGGCUAUAAAACAGCAGGAGGUUCGAGAGUUUUGUGAACCUCUUCUUUGGGAGAAGAGACCUCAGCCCUCUUGACGAGCGCGAGGUGUGAACAUGGUUAGUCCUUGAUGAAGAGCAAGACAAGCCAGCUGUGGUUCAACACACCCAUGUUGAGGUACAGAACUGCAGUUGUGUGAACCUGUGGCCCCUACACAGUGGGGUAAAGUGAAGGGCUGCUUAGCAGUUCUGGGAGCCAGUAUAUUGUGGGGAGGUAAAUAGGAAGUGUCUUGUGAGUGACUGAGGUUGGUAAAUACUUAUCCAAGCCAGGGUUUAACUGCAUUGCUGUGAGUUCCUUUCACAAUCAUCCCUGAUAUGGCACUUUAUAACAUGAUCAAUGUCUUCAUAGGAUAUACUGUGAAGUGAUGUGGCUGUGUGUGCUCUGGAUGAA